UGGAAGUCCUAAGGAUGGUGGGCAGGCAGCACUGCAGUGAUCCUUAUCUGUUUACAAUCAUGUCACACUGAAUACUUUUGGGAGCUGGAGAAGAGGGUAGGAAAAGUUUACUGUAGUAAAUUGUCAUUGUUUCCUCAGUGGUUAACCGUCCUUUGUUCGUUAAGGGCCUUCUUUCCAGUCAGCCUGAAAGGUACCGUUGCACUGCCCCGAUUGUUGAGUUUCUCAGUCCGGAGGCAGAGCACUCGCACACGGCCUACCAGAAGAAUCAGCCUAGAAGACAGGCUGCCCUCUCAUCCAGCGGCCCAAAGCCUGGAUUUCAGAGAGCAGUGCCCUUCGUGAUCUGCCACCAGCCCUACCAGAUAGUUGUAAACCAGUAUCAGGAAUUGGGAUCACUAGAGUGUUUUGCUUAUUAGAAUAUAAAAUGAAUCGUCCUCUUCACAGACCUGCUGCUGGGACUGUGAUCUGAUAGACAUCACACAAAGCUUUCUGGCACGAAUCACAUUUUGUGGAAGUGACUACUCAGGUUUGUAUAUGUUAGUAUCAAUAAAGAAAUUGCACAGUUUUGAAUAGGAAAAAUGUAUUCUAUAGAUUUACAGUUUGAAUUUAGGAAUAUCUCAGUAUAUAUAGUUUUAAUUCAUUUUAAGUGAAUCAUAGUAAAAUAAGUCAUGGUGAUUUAAAAUAGCUUUCAGGAAUGAGUUCUUGGAAAUCAUUGGUCAUAUCUGUGAUAGGAAACAAUUUUACAGUAUUAAAUUACUUUUUUACAGUUUUAGAAGUGAAUUACACUGGAUUGUCCUUGUUUAGCAUUCUGUAUUUGAUUUUAGCUGAGAUGCCACCAAAGUUAGGACUCCUAUGUUUUAAACUUUUGAAUAUCCUACAAAGAAAAAAAAAAAACUAAGGAAAAAUGCCCUGAAAUUAACAGAUUUUUGUAAAGAAUAGCAUAUUUUUAAGCAUGCCUUCGGGAUAGUAGAAAAGCCUCCAUAUAAUAUUAAUCUGCUCUAGUUUCUUAUAAAUUCAGCGUUGUGAGGGGCCGUUAGAAUCUUUCCCUCCAAUUCCAGCAUCCUUGAUGAAACGUGGAACUAUCGUGUUUCAAGUUUGCUAUGCUAUGCUAUUUAGGAUAAGAAACAAAUUGGAAAUAUCCAUGUUAUACAGAUGGAACACAAGACACCAGCUCCAGUGUAAAGAAAAUUCAUACAAAUAAGGGAAUGCUUAUUGACCUGGCGUUGUGGCUUAUGGCUCAGGCAGGAUUGAGAGUUGUGUAGGAACACAGGAGCCUUUAAGAUACGGUGCACAAAAAUACAAAUUCUUUUUCUCUAAUAGACUCCAGUUUUAAAUUUGGUGUGCUUUUAAGUGGAAUGAGUUUUGAGGCUGUGUUCUCAUUUGGUCCUGAUUCUGAUUAGAAAGCUGUCACUGGCAUGAUCUGGUUUGGAAGAGUGAAGACGUCCGCGCUGUCCCUGUAGGAAGAACAGAUCUGAUGAUUGAGCUCUUGAGCUAGUGUAAGUUAACAUGGCCGAUGCAUUACUCCUUCUGUUUUUGUGUCUGUGUAGAAGCAGGGAGGAGAGAAAGACCACCUGGCCUUGACAGCUGGCUCGGGUCUAGUUAGAGCUGGUCUAGACCCAGAGCGCUCUGCCACUGACAGCCUUUCUCUUCUCACGUGAAAGUCAGUGUGAGUGACAGGCCUUUGCUGCCUGACUCGGAGCACAGUGGCCACAGGGUCUGUUCCCCUGGCACUGAGGUUGGAGGUAUUGCUUUGUGCUGAAUGGCCCUGGGGCGUGUGUAGGAGUGGACCAUAAGCAAUGGUUGGGCUGAUCUGUGCCCUUUCUCCUUCCACCCUGCGUGAGUAACCUUUUCUCCUCGCUCUCCCAGCCCCUACCCCCUAUUACCUGUUGCUAGAGAAAAGCUGUGAACAAUAUAGGAAGAAAUCAAAUGUAGAGAAGUGAGAAAAUGUUAAGGAAGAACAGUAUCAAGGACUGAACUACUGUAUCAUCUCCUAACACUGGGAACAAGGGCAACAGCAGACUCGGCAGCCUUGUUGCGUCCCAUGUGGGAACUGAGUCGUGCAUUAACAGCCCUUGUCUGCUAUCUCCUGAGCUUUUACUGGUCUUUGAAGCCCAGAUCUGCUAUAAGCAGUCAGGAGCUGCAAGAGAACACAUGUGACCGUUGAGCUGCUUGAUGGCUGAUCGCUCUGCCCCCAAGCACGACCUUUUCUUCUCUCCUGUUUUUCUCCUCUGGCACUUCUCUUCCCACGUGUCUUAAGCAGAUGCACAUGCAUUUGCCCUCUUGUCCAUGAGGGGAUGGUGGUGUGUGAUAUGUUAAAACUAGAAAGUCGUGCGUGAGGAGGUCCUCAAAAUGAUCUGCUGUCGGGCUAGGAGGACUCUCCCACAGUGUCUGUGGGCCGGCUCUUGGGAGUCCCUAGGAGGGGGUAGCUGGGCUCCACGGGGAAUGAGGAAACUCACACUGGUUGGAUUGAACAGUCCUGGCUAGCCUUUAUUAGAGUUGUUAGUAAGUUAGGAUCUUUUUUCCCUAAGACCCAGGAGAAAUAAACAACCCAGAAAGAAAAGUAAAGCUUUUUGGAAGGUUUCUGGUUUGGGUUUGUUGUUUGUUUUUUCCCUCAGAGUCUGUUCUUUUAAAAAGUAGCUGUUGGCGGAAAUUUAUUAUGGUAGAUGCAUGUGAAGAGUAAGUAAGGGCAAAAUGUGCAGAUUCUUGUUCAUAUAACUUCUUCCAUCCUACCUUCUAAAAAUAAAAUUAAAGCCACUCCGCCUCUCCUUAAUCACGUUCGUUUGGGUUCGGGCAGUGCACAUGAGCUGCUGCUUCACGAUUCUUUUAUUCUUAGUGAGCCCAAGUGAGACUGCUCUCAAGAGGCAAAACUCUGUCAUGCUCGUCUUCUGAAAACGUGAAGACCUGUAGGGUGUGUGUGCACCUUAGUUCACUCAGACCCCAGCUUUCAGUGUCGAUUCACUGUGGCCUAGUGCUCAGACCUUGAAGAUGCUUCUCGUGACCAUUAGGUGUCGUUACCCCAUGGCAUUUGUCUGCUGUAUUAUUAUUUAUGGUAAUUCCUACUGGAGUCAAAGAGGAUGCUAAGUGCUGUCCAAAACACACAAAAUCCCAGUGUUACAGUCAUCACAGAUGUCAGAAACAAGCUCUCAAUCCAUACGACUUGGUUGAAUUUUUCUUCCCUUUUUGAAAUUCAGAUUUAUAAAUAAUAUACUGCUCUUAAACCCCAAACUGAAAUUUCACAGCAAGUCUUAACCCAGCAGUCCCAAGGCAAGGGCAGUUACAUAGUGUCAGAAUGCUUUCAAAGAAAUGAAAGGCUUAGAGUUUUCUAGCAUUAUUGCUACCUGCCCCCACCCACCUGUGACUGUCAGUCCAUUCACCCCUGCCAGAUUCUGAAUGGACCUCCAGUGAGGAAGUCAGCUCCGUGUGUGUGUGAGUCAAGGACUCUUAAACCUCCGGAGUUUCUGGAAUGCAGUGUCCUGGCUAAUAGUUUUCUGUUCAACAUUCUGGUGAGAAUACUGGGAAUUUUGGUUGAGCAUGAAGAGGCUUUUAUUCCUGGGCUCACAUCACAGUCUAGGAACUAAGAAUGUGAUUGAGAUUUGCUGCAUGAGAAGAAACCGCUUUUCCUUUUUUGGUGGGUUGGACUUUCUCUGUAAUAUGGAGCCUUAGGACACCAAGCCUUGCCCUGUUUUUCAUUUAGGAAAACAACCUGAGUGAACAUUUUUGCAUCCCAUCUCUCAUAUGAAGCUGUGACACAAGCUUUGUCUCCAGGUUGGAUGUUUAUCUGUCUCUGCUUUGUAGGCCUUUGCUAACCAGAAAUUUAGAGGGGCUGUCCCCCCAGCUAGUCUUUGUCUCUCACUGUGUACCAGGGGACUGACUGACUGAACUUUUAUGUAGAAAUGCCUAAUAACCAACUGAUUGUCCUGCAUGUGUUUUUGAAAAGGGUGGGAUGGGGUUGGGAACAAGGGGUGUGGAUAUUGAGUAAGUUAUUGAAAUGCUGAACCCCGUUCAGUAUCCUUCGUGUGACCCCUUUUCCCCAGCUGGGACUCGGGUACCUCACUCUCCUGCCUUGCACACAGCUCCUGGGAGCCCAGGCCAGUCUCCACCAGCCUGCGGCACACAGUGUCAGGGAUUCUUUGCUCCUGCUGCAAAAGCCGUGUGAACUUUCCUGGCCAGUACUGGAAAGGGGAAUGCUAUUUAUUUUUAUAUUGUGUAUAUUUUGUCGUGGUCUGCUGAUUCCCUGUUUCACUGAGAGCGACACUUACCUCAAUAGUUAGUUCGAUAUUGUGUGUUGGAUAAUUUUUUAAAAGAACUUUUUAAAAAGCUUUUUGAUCCUCAGAGGUCUGUAGAUUUAUUUCCAUAUGAACUGGUUAUUUUGUAUAAAGUACAUUCUUAAAAUAGCAAGGCUCUGAUGUGUGUGAGUUGUGUGUGUCCACGUGUCACUUUUAUCAUCGGGACAGAGGUUUGAACUAGGCCCCAGCCUGUCUCACCUGGCUUCCUCAAGGUGGGUGGGUGGUGUAGGGGCAGGCAGCGGGAGCGUGCCCUGUGCAGGCGAUGAUGGAGUGUGCUCUAUGGAGAACUUCAGAACAGUGCUAAAACUGGCCAUUCCACACAGUGUCAGGGAUAAAGUACUCCCCAGCUGGCCCACUCCCAGUACGACCCACACACCCCUAGCCCUUGGUACACACCUUUAACACACUUGUAUAUACUACUUUUGCUCUCCUUCCAAAAUCUAGGAUGGACUACGGUCCAGGAGGUAAAGAAUUCAGCUUAUAAUGAGGGGACACCAGGCAGCUGGAGCCUGGGUCCAUGAGUGAAUUACAAGUGGUCAGGAGUGGGAGCUACAAGGCUAGGUAAGCAGCUACUUUGUACCUGCCCAAUUUAUUUAGUUUUUAUUUCCAGUUCCUAGGAGGGUUUUUGUUACAGGGGGAAAAAAAGAAUAGAUAAAGUGACCAUCUUGGGGCAUCUGACUGGCUCAGUCAUGGAACAUGUGACUCUUGAUCUUGGGGUAGUGAGUUUGAGCCCCACUUCGGGUGGUAGAGCUUACUUGGGGGAAAAAAAAAAAAGAAAGUAGCCAUCUUAUUAUCAGUUGGUUGUAGUUCCAAGACACCAAAAUUUCUGGUCUUUUUGAUGCUUAAUUGGCCUUGUGAAGGUAAUCUCCUUCUGGAAAAAUUCUACCCCAAAUAGUACCAAUUUCCAAAUCUGUGUUCACUCAGGUUUAUCACUUUCUAGAGCAGUGACAGAUCCCUUUUGACCUCCGAUUGUGUGGUGUUAGAUUGUCCCUAUUUUUUUUUUUUUUUUUAAGAUUUAUUUAUUUGAAGGGCGCCUGGAUGGCUUAGUCGUUAAGCGUCUGCCUUCGGCUCAGGUCAUGAUCCCAGGGUCCUGGGAUCGAGCCCCACAUCGGGCUCCCUGCUCAGCGGGAAGCCUGCUUCUCCCUCUCCCACUCCCCCUGCUUGUGUUCCCUCUCUCGCUGUGUCUCUCUUUGUCAAAUAAAUAAAUAAAAUCUUUAAAAAAAUAAUUAUAAAAAAAUAGUAAAGAUUUAUUUAUUUGAGAGAGAGAGCCGACAACUGGGGGAAGGGGCAGAGGGAGAGGGAGAGAAAGAACCUCAAGCAGACUCCCCGUGAGAUCAUGACCUGAGCCGAAAUCAGAGUCAGACGCUUCACCGACUGAGCCACCCAGGCGCCCCUAAAUUGUCCCUGUUGAUAUAUUAUUAUUGACUAAUAUGUUUAUUAAAAAAUCAACUUUAGGGUGCCUGGGUGGCUCAGUUGGUUAAGCGACUGCCUUCAGCUCAGGUCAUGAUCUUGGAGUCCCGGGGUCGAGUCCCACAUCGGGCUCCCUGCUCAGCAGGGAGUCUGCUUCUCCCUCUGACCCUCCUCCCUCUCGUGCUCUCUCUCAUUCUCUCUCUCGCAAAUAAAAAAAAAAAUCAACUUUAAGUGAAAAUCAUUCGUAAACCCCAGAUUUGACGGGAUGCUGGUUAGAUGGUGUUUCAGUGUCUCCUCCUGCACUGGAGGGGCAGUGGCCGGUGGGCCACUGCUCUGUCCUGGUUCUCUUCGUUGUCAUGCCAGUUGUGACGCCGGCCUGGUCAGCAUCAGCUCUACCCACAGUGCAUAUUAGUAUCACAUCCUUAAAAUGCAUGAAAAAAUUGAUUUCGGGCGCCUGGGUGGCUCAGUUGGUUAAGCAACUGCCUUCGGCUCAGGUCAUGAUCCUGGAGUCCCGGGAUCGAGUCCCGCAUCGGGCUUCCUGCUCAGCAAGGAGUCUGCUUCUCCCUCUGACCCUCCUCUCUCAUGCUCUCUGUCUCUCAUUCUCUCUCUCUCUCAAAAUAAAAAUAAAAUCUUUAAAAAAAAAAAAAAGAAAAAAUUGAUUUCUGACUUCUGGAUUCCCAGCUGCAACCAUUCCUACUGUGACAUGAAAGCCAACAUUUUUUAACUGUUUCAGCUAAUGAUAGGGUUUGAUUUAUUUUGUAAUAGGCACUUAGGUCUUAGCUGAGUGCCCUUUAGGGUGUUCCCAAAUUUAUCUCCUUGGGACCAAAACAAAGUAUCUUGCACAGAUCAGUUCUGUUCCAGAACUUGGUACAGUGGGGCAGUGUUAAUCCAGCUCUAUUUUUGGAGCUAGUAUUUGACAUUAACACUUGUUAAGCCCCAUGGGUAACAGUUUACACAACAAUCCCCCUACUCGGUGAGCCACUUGCUUCAAAUUGGAGCAUGAAAAGAAAGCUGGCAGGGAAAGAUUUAGGGAAAAGGAAGGAAGUCACAAAUUGCCAAUGAGGAUUAGUCUCAAAACUGUGGAACUCUCCUUUUUGACUUUUGGAAACAUCCGUAGUUCUUCUCUUUUUAAAUGUUAAUGUCUUCUGUCUCUAAACCAAUUCCUGUCAUUGAGGAAGGAAAGGGAUCUUAAUUUUAUAAACAAGUAGCCCCUCUAGGGGUUCAGUUUUGCCGUAAUCUACAUUCUCUUGAGAGUGGUAUUAACAGAACUGAGAAAAUAACCCAGGGUUGGGCUCUUUCGGAGGUCGACCUUCACCCUGUAAUCUUCCUGGAGAGGUGAAUGGCCUGUGUCAUUAAAUUGUUAUGCAAGGGUUGCCUUUGGAAGAAAUGCCAUUGGACCUUUGCUCUGGGGGUGCUGGAUUCUAGGCCAACUGGAAAUGAGGCUUGGGUUCUUUGUAGAUGGGCCCUGCAGAUCUGUUUCCCUGGCCUCAUGGUUUUCCCUUGGGUUUUUUAAUGGAGAACAUCUGUGUAUCUGUUUUAGUCCCCUUUCUGCUACCAAUGCUCACUCCUCUAGUUUCCUUGGGUAGUUCUAGCAAAAACCUCAGUGUGAAGUACUAGCCAACAAGGCAGCUGGAAAAUCCCCAGAUUUGACUAUUGUGUGCUGAAAUCCCAACCCCUUCUGCUUCCAUGACCUGCAUAUAAAUUCAGAUCCCCUCGAGAAGUCGUCAGGUUUGGAAAAGCACUACUUGCUCCUAGAAUCUUGGAUUUGAACCUCAUCCUGGACAGUGAAUGACAAGGAAGGAGUAGCUCUAUUCUAGCCAGUUAAACGCUAAAUAGAAUUUUUAAAGCAGUGGAGUCAGUUCCUUGGAUUGGAUUCAAGGUUUUUGCAUUGGGGAGGAAUUGAGUCUGUAGUAGGAAGGGGCAGAGACAUUCAGCUGAAGCCUGGCCUGUGUGUGCCCCAAGAACUAAGAUGAAGAUUGACUGACUCACACUGAAGUUCUCAAUUUUGUCAGAGAGCACAAGCAGGGGGAGCGGCAGAGGGAGAGGGAGCCCGAUGUGGGGCUCCAUCCCAGGACCCUGGGAUCAUGACCUGAACCGAAGGCAGAUACUUAACAACUGAGCCACCCAGGUGUCCCUUUAAGUUUAUUUUUUUAGUAGUAUCUACACCCAACAUGGGGCUCAAACUCACGACCCCAAAAUCAAGGGUUGCAUGCUGGUCUGAGCCAGCCAGUCACCCCAUACCUUCAUCCAAACUCUUUACCAAUAGAACCUGGCAUUUUUGUCUGCUGCAAUGUGGCUUCCUCCCCACAUUUCUACAACUACCGACUUAGUUACAAAGCCUCCGCCAGAUCCCUUUCACAGCUCUUAAAUCCUUUGCAUGGCCUCAGCCCCCUUGGAACUGGUUCUCACUGGUGCCAUGACCCACGUUCACCCAGGUCUCCACAGCCUGCCCUCCCAGUUACCUUUUCUCCCUUCGAAUAGCUGUGCUCUUCCUAAGACUUGCCCCCUUUUUCCUCUUCAUACACCUUUCUCUAGAUGGUUAUUAUCGUCACCUGCAACUUUACUUGUCCUUCUAUGCAGUUGACGUCCAUCUUUAAGUUGGACUUUUUGCCAUGCUCUGGUCACCCUUUCCAAGUUCCUAUUGGACAUGGACACCAUGUGUCCCUGCUGCCAUUGUUCCAGGAUUUUUAUUUGCCACUGUUUUAAAUUUUUUACCAGAAUGAUUGGCAAUUUCAUUUCCUACACCUUGCUUAUUUUUAACACCCUUUCUUAGCCAUUUUAUUAUAACAAACAUUACAACUGACAUAUUUCCCUGUCCCUCCAAUGUCAUCCAUUUAUGUUGAAGUGUAAUAUCCUGGCUUCAUGGCUCAUCUCUCUUCCUUUUUAUCGUGACAAAAUACACACAUACUAUUUUAACCAUUUUAAAGUGUACGCUUCAGUUGCAUUAAGUACAUUCACAUCAUUAUGCAACCAUUACUACUGUCCAUCUCUGGAACUUUUUUAUCCCAUGGUGAAGAUCUAUUCCCAUUAAACUAAUUCCCUACCUCCCUUCUCCCCCAACCUCUGGUAACCACUUUUCUUUCUGUGUCUAUGAAUUUAAAUGUUCUAGGUACCUCAGAUAAGUAGAAUCACACAAUAUUUGUCCUUCUUUGGCUUAUUUCACUUAGCGUGUUUUCAGGGUUCAUCCAUGUUGUAGCAUGUAGCAGAAUUUUAUUCCUUUUUGAGACUAAAGAACAUUCCAUUGUGUGUAUAGACCACAUUUUGUUUAUCCAUUCAUCCAUCAGAGGACAUUUGGGUUGUUUCCCUUUUUGGCUAUUGUGAGUAAUGAAUGUUGCAAUGGACAUGAGUGUGCAGAUAAUGUGUUUGAGGCACUGCUUUCAAUUCUGUGUGGAUACCCAGAAAUGGAAUUGCUGAAUCAUACAGUAAUUCUGUUUUUAACUUGUUGAGGAACUGCCUUACCAAUUUCCACAGCCACUGCCCCAUUUUACAUUCCCAUCAGUGAUGCUCAAGAGUUCCAAUUUCGCCACAUCCUCACCCUCACAUGUUUUCUCUGUUUUGAUAGUAUCACCCUAGCAGGUGUGAAGUGGGAGCACUCUUUCUUGUACACCUCGCCAUCCCGUUUUGUGGCUGCCACUUUAAACUCAAUAGCCAGCCAAACUUUUCUUCUCCAUUCUCUCCUUACCUGUCCACUUCUGAUAUUCCUAGUUGUGGUGAUAAUAUAUCUUUUCCUGCUGAUCCAUGUUUCAAGCCAUAUUUGUCUCUGGCAUGUUUAAUCGACUGCCAAGCCCUAUCAGUUCUUCACAGAAAUCACAUCUCUUCCCUCCUGUAUGCAGUUUCUCAUUUUAUUUCUUGCCUGGAUUAUUGUAAUCUCCCAACCUGUCCAAACCCCUUUGUGCUGCGAUAAACCUGAACCGUCUGCUAUGGGCCCCUACUCCAUGUCCUAUAUCAGCUUUCCAUUGCCCACCAGGAAAAGGGAGGGUGGAAAAGUUAUCAUUUAGUGAACACCUUUUAUGUGCCACACACUAAGUGCUAAAUGUACUAAAUGCUCUACAUCUAAGUUUCGAGUCUCAUUUCACAGAUGACGCAGGCACAGAGAAGUAAUUUGUUUAAGGUCACGCAGCGAGUAAGUAGUAACCUGGAAUUCAAACCAGUUCAAAGGCAGCCUUACUCCAAAGCCGAUUCUUAACCACUCUGCUCUACUGCCUCAUAGCAGUCCUAUGAAGUGGCUAUCUCCAUCCCCCUUCGAUGAAGAAUGGCACUAAGUUAAAUAACUUGCCUAAAGUGAGGUAGUUAUUAACUUGGAAGCUGGAAUUUGAACCUGGGUCUCUGACAUCAAAGUCUGUCCCAUGCUGAUUCUUCAUCUCCCAAAUCCUUGGCCAGACAAAAAGGUCCUCUACCUUUGGGACCCAACAUGUUACCAGCUUUAUUCUCUCCACGACUGCCUCAUCCCUUGCCCCAAAUUAGACAAUUUGCCACUGAAGAGAAGCCAGGUUUAAUUUUAACUGCUCUUGGUUGUCAAGUCGAAAACCAGUGACUACUUCCUGAAAUCUUUCCAGCUGUCUAGGCUGGAAGAACUCAGCUGCAGCCCUGAGCUCCUGGCUCAGCUGUAACAGCUGUGAGGGCAGGGAAUGUGCCCCAUCAACACUGCCGCCCCCCGCAGCGGAGCACGUGGUAGACCACUGAAAAUACAGAAUCACUGGAACAGGCAAUCAAUCACCUGCAACCACAAAAGUGGGGGAGUCUGAAAAGCAGAGGUUAGCUUCUGGCCCCAAAAGUCUGGCAGAAGUGUUUGCAUUGCAUCGAUUUUCCAUUGUUUG